AUCUAUGGCCAUGCUACCCUGAACAAGUCCGAUCCGAUCUGAUCUCAGAAGCUAAGCAGGGUCAGGCCUGGUUAGUACUUGAAUGGGAGACCACCUAGGAAGACCAGGGACUGUAGGCA
rnacentral:rRNA from 1 species